rnacentral:rRNA from 1 species
CCCUUAGAUGUUCUGGGCCGCACGCGCGCUACACUGACGGAGCCAACGAGUCUUUUCCUUGUCCGGAAGGACUGGGUAAUCUUGUGAAACUUCGUCGUGCUGGGGAUAGAGCAUUGCAAUUAUUGCUCUUCAACGAGGAAUUCCUAGUAAGCGUGAGUCAUCAGCUCGCGUUGAUUACGUCCCUGCCCUUUGUACACACCGCCCGUCGCUACUACCGAUUGAAUGGCUUAGUGAGCCUUUGGGAUCUGAGCGGAAAGAGCGUUUCGCUGUUUCUGCUCGGAAAACUCAGUCGAACCUUAUCAUUUAGAGGAAGGAGAAGUCGUAACA